GCCUUCGUAGUGUAGUGGUCAGCACGCUCGACGCGUAACCGCGGGACCGUGGUUCGAUUCCCGGCGAAGGCC
rnacentral:tRNA from 1 species